GACGAACGCUGGCGGCGUGCUUAACACAUGCAAGUCGAACGGAAAGGCCCUGCUUUUGUGGGGUGCUCGAGUGGCGAACGGGUGAGUAACACGUGAGUAACCUGCCCUUGACUUUGGGAUAACUUCAGGAAACUGGGGCUAAUACCGGAUAGGAGCUCCUGCUGCAUGGUGGGGGUUGGAAAGUUUCGGCGGUUGGGGAUGGACUCGCGGCUUAUCAGCUUGUUGGUGGGGUAGGGGCUUACCAAGGCUUUGACGGGUAGCCGGCCUGAGAGGGGGACCGGGCACAUUGGGACUGAGAUACGGCCCAGACUCCUACGGGAGGCAGAAGUGGGGAAUAUUGCACAAUGGGCGGAAGCCUGAUGCAGCAACGCCGCGUGCGGGAUGACGGCCUUCGGGUUGUAAACCGCUUUCGCCUGUGGCGAAGCGUGAGUGACGGUAAUGGGUAAAGAAGCACCGGCUAACUACGUG
rnacentral:rRNA from 1 species